rnacentral:rRNA from 1 species
UACGGAGGGUGCAAGCGUUGCUCGGAAUUACUGGGCGUAAAGCGCGUGUAGGCGGUUUCGUAUGUCUGGCGUGAAAGCCCCGGGCUCACCCCGGGAAGUGCGUUGGAAACUGCGAGACUAGAGUCCCGGAGAGGAAGGUGGAAUUCCAGGUGUAGCGGUGAAAUGCGUAGAUAUCUGGAAGAACACCGGUGGCGAAGGCGGCCUUCUGGACGGUGACUGACGCUGAGACGCGAAAGCGUGGGGAGCAAACAGG